AUUGAACGCUGGCGGCAGGCCUAACACAUGCAAGUCGAACGAGUGGCGGACGGGUGAGUAAUGUCUGGGAAACUGCCUGAUGGAGGGGGAUAACUACUGGAAACGGUAGCUAAUACCGCAUACCAUCAGAUGUGCCCAGAUGGGCUUAGCUUGUUGUUGGGGAAACGGUUCAAAAAGGCGACGAUCCCUAGCUGGUCUGAGAGGAUGACCAGCCAACCUGGAACUGAGACACGGUCCAGACUCUUCGGUGAGGCAGCAGUGGGGAAUAUUGCACAAGGGGCGCAAGCCUGAUGCAGCCAUGCCGCGUGUAUGAAGAAGGCCUUCGGGUUGUAAAGUACUUUCAGCGGGGAGGCGUUACCCGCAGAAGAAGCACCGGCUAACUCCGUGCCAGCAGCCGCGGUAAUUC
rnacentral:rRNA from 1 species